GCAAAAAGAGCAGGAUCUGAUCCAUAUCUGGCCAUGUUGGACCACAGAAACACCCCCUCUCAGGGUGUAGACAGCAGUCCAGCACAAAGCCUGAUGGGCAGGAGAACUAAAACCCUCUUGCUGAUGAGUGAAAAUCUACUAAGGCCUGGGGUGACCAGCAAUAAGCAGAAGAUGAUCAUGGAGAGCCAACACAGGCAGGCACAGUACUACAAUACAUCAGCAAAAGAUCUACCUCCACUACAAAGAAAUGACAAGGUGAGAGUACAGCCAUGGAGUGGACAGAGCAAAUGGUGGCAGAAAGCCACGGUGAUUAAGCCAGUAAACAUGAGGUCUUAUGAGAUACUAACAGAACAAGGACAGACCUUAAGAAGAAACCGAAGACACCUUAGGAGGUCUAAAGAACAGGGAAACCACUUUCCAACUCUGGAUAAGCCCCAAGAACUGAAGGAGACAAUCACUGAGGAUGAAGAGCACAAAGAACUACAGAAAAGUACACAGAGUACAGAGGGCCUCGCGGAGGACAUCAGGGGUCCAGGGAGUUCCGAGGACCAGGGUCAGCCAGCCUACCGUGAGUCUUCAGCGGUUGCAGAGUAUGCCCACAGUAGAUAUGGAAGACCCCUUUGCAGGCCCACACACCUAAAAGACUUUGUUUGAAUCAAUAGAGAUGUUCAUCAUCAUUUGUUUUAGUUCAGGUACUAGAGAGUACAAAUGCUAACAAAAGUUAGUUGAUAUUGUUUAGUUGUUUAAAAAAAAAAAAAAAAGAGAAAGGAUGUAGCAAUAUGUGCGGAACCUAUUGUUGUGUGUUACUGUGUUCCUGGGGGGGCGCUUUAGGCGCGGGGCUGCUCCAACAGGUCAUUGAGCAAGAGCAGAGUAGAAAGAAAGGCAGCAAAUGAGUCCUGAGUAAUAAAAGCUAAGUUGUUUGUUUCACAUCUGGAUUUGUGUCGACUUCUUACGCCGGGGAACACAUCAAGCUUUAAACACUUGUAGCCAAAAUAAAAAGACAGACAAAACGGACUAACACUAAACAAACGGUGCACGGAGAGACAAACAAACACGGUUCUAGGAUCUGGCAAGACACUGGGAUGCUUAACUGGACAGACAGCUCCAGACAGACUGCAAUCACUGGGAAACAGGUGCAGAAAGAGCUUCCAUUAGCCGCACCCGUCUGCAAUCAAAACUGCAUCACUGCACAACAGAUAUUAAACCUGGAGUGGAAUGGACCCGGAACAUUAGCUAAGACGAGAUGAUCAUAGUGCAUGCUGGGAUUGUUUAUUUCAACUAGGACUACGAUCCAGCUACCGGUAAGCCACAGAUACCUUUCAUAAUUUGAAUUUUGGAAGUGGUGAGUAUAUUUUUCCUUUCCUGUGUCAGUUCAGGUAUUUGUAGUGUAUCAAUUAUUCACAUUGAUGACAGUCCAGUCCUCUUGUUUAAUUACUAAAAUCUGUUUUUCUCGAUAAUUAUUUUUCUUUGUUUUGCUUUCUUCAUGCUUUGGCUGUUUUCAGUAGUUUUCAAUAGUAUUCAAUCUUUGACUUCAGAGCUGCUGUUUGUUUAAUUUCCCUUCUUUUCUUCAUUAGGUAUUUUUUCUCUUGCAUGAUCUUCUGGUCGCAUUUUGUACUCUGUGUUCCAACUAUGUUUUUUGCUGUUUCUAUAAUUACUUUUGUCACUUCCUCAUAGAUUUUGUUUACCUUGAUUGCUUCAUCUUUUUGCAGAUCUUGAAGAGCAUUGAAUCUAUUCUACAGUUCCAGUUAAAACAACAAGCUUUGCUUCGGGAGCAUUUCUAUGUUGAUUGUGUUGGAUUUCGUCAUCACGAGUUUUGCUCUCUCCAGUGCUGUGUUUAAGUGUAUUUUGCAGCUUACAAGUCUGUGUUCACUUCUUGUGUUAAAAUUGUUUAGUACUGAGACAUCUUGUACGGUGUGUUUCUUGUUGGUGAGUAUGUAGUCUCAUUCUUCACUCCGUUGGGUCCUCUCCAUGUCCAUUUCCUGAUGGGUUUCUUCUGGAAGGAGGUGUUCAUGAUGAAUAAGUUUUUGUUCUCUGCAAAUUCGACUAGUCUGUCGCUCUUCUCGUUCCUGUUGCCAUGUCCAAAUUUGCAGACUGAAUUCUCAUCCUCUUGCUGGGCUCCUAUUUUGGCGUUGAAGUCACCGAUGAUGAACUUAUAGCGGCUCUUCCCAUUUUCAUGUAGUUCUUGUACUUCUUCAUAAACUGCCAUGGUCCAGCCUCCGGAGAAUGAGGGCCAUGUUUUUGUCUGUGCUUUCAUCAUGGGGAGGUUGGCCAUAACUCACCAUGCUGGCCAGGCUGGUUGCUGAGUGCCCCUUCCACUUUGGCAGAGUAUGUUACUCAAGCUUUCACAGCAUGGUUGAACCUGCUAGAGUCAGGGGACCCCGCUGUACAUUGUCUCGAGAACCCGUUGUCACCCUCCUGCCACUUUGAGGCAGUGGAAUUUGGACUUUAGGAGGGAGAUAUAUAUAUAUAUAUAUAUAUAUAUAUAUAUAUAUAUAUAUAUAUAUAUAUAUUGUAAAAGAACCGCUGCCACACGGGUUCGUUGCCCCUUUAAAAAUACGACCCAACACACUGGAAUGGAUUUUUAUGCGCUGAUGCACUAUUUUUAAUUCACACAAAAUAAACAAACACGAAAUAAACACCUAGCUCUUUCGGAGCACUAACUCAACUUUCGGGAACAACCUGACUACAAGUAGGACGGCUAAGCCAUUUUCCCACCAAACCAAACACAACAAACAAACAAAACCACACAGGUUUACACUGCUUAUGUUUUUCCUCUUGACUGUCCGGAAGCAGAGCACCUCUUCUGCCUCCUUCUACUCAGCAGCCCUGAGCAAACUGACUGUUCUCUCUUUAUACCCUGCACCUGGUUCUAAUUUAUAAUUACCACCAGGUGCAGGGGAUAGUUAACACUCAAAUAAAUUAACAAAACAAUUAAACAAAUUAAAUUCAACAAUAAAGCAAAACAGUUAAACAAUAAACCGAAUACAAUUAAAUUAAACAAAUGUGCAUUUCGCACAUGUUUUUUCUUCAGAGAGGCUUUAACCCCUUCCCUGCUGUCUUACAAUAUAUAUAUAUAUAUAGUGAACCGGCCGGCACCACUCACGGUUCUUUGCCCCUUUAAAAACUGACCCAGCACACAGGAAUGGAGGUUUCAAAAGCGCUGACGCGCUAAUUUUUAAUAAACAAACAAAACACAAAAUACACAAAAACAAACACCUAGCUCUUCUUUGAGCAAUAACUAAAACACAAAUCAGGAACCUAAACUAAAGACAGGACAGCUAAGCUGUUUACCUGUUGCACAACAAAAGGCUCAACACUACCUUUUUCUUUUUUAUUACGGCUGUACUCACACACCAGCACAGUCGGGCUUCUACACUCUUCAGCAGCCCUGAGCAAACUGACUGCCUCUCUUAAAUACCCUGCACCUGGUUCUAAUUUUCAAUUACCACCAGGUGCAGGGGAUAAUUAACAAUCAAUUAAUUAACAAAACUAACCAAAAAUGUGCAUGCGCAUAUGCCUUACGCAGGGAGGAUUUUAACCCCCCUCCCUGCUAUGUUACAAUAUAUAUUCUAUAACAGUGUGAAUGCCAGAGCUACAAAAGUGUUCGAAAAACUUUUCAACACGGUGUGCUUUGUCUUGGGACAACUGCAUACAAAAAUCUCCUCCAGUGUUUUAAAUCGAGGUCUCUCAUUUGUUCCAACAAGUAAUGUUAAUGUUUUGGGUCUUAAGGUAAAUUGUUUUAAGUUUACAUGCCAAUUACAUUAAAAAAAUAAUAUUUUAACUUGUCAAAAGCUGUCGUUGACUCUGAUAUGCAAAAUAAAAAGAAAAGAACACUGUUCAAAAAUAAAUCUUA